AUCCAGCUGACGAGUCCCAAAGUAGGACGAAACGCGCGUCAUACUGGAU
rfam:Schistosoma mansoni strain Puerto Rico chromosome W, complete genome